AUCAAGCUGAUGAGCCCUAACUAGGACGAAACGCGCGUCCUUAAU
rnacentral:hammerhead_ribozyme from 1 species